UUUUCCAUGCACAAGUCUACCUCUUGGUAAACACAUCAGUACAUAUGCGGUGCAGGCUGCCUCUCAAAGUGCAGGAAAAAUAAGCAGAGAAAUUUAUAAACUAAAAAAAAAGGAUCUCCCUAGCAGUCCAGCCCAGCUGUCCACUGCCAAUCAGCAGCAAAUCUCCCUCUCUACCCACAAACACAGGAGCUGAGUGAAACUUCUGGUUUGGCAUCUAAAAAUACCAGCACAAGAGACGAUUAUUAGAAGUGUUCUGGUAGAGUGCUUUCAACAGCAAAGCCUGCUGGCCUCUCACCUUGCUGAGGAGAAGAUGAGGAUCCAAGGAGGAGCCAGGAAGGGCUGAAAACAACAUGAGAACCAGACAGCUGGAGGGUCAGAGUGUUCACAGGAGGAUCCUCACUGUUGGUGGAUGCAGGCACGUCCCUGCUGCAGACCUGGCUGGUGGUGGGACAGGAGAUGGGGACACCCGCAGAAACAUCACUGAAAGCCCAGAUCAAAAAAGCAACCCCAAGUGUACUCUAGGAAUGACAUCCUCUGGAACAGGACCUUUCCUGAGGGAAAUAAUGCUUGGAGGAGGUUGCUGGCCUGGGGCAAAGCUUCCAGCAUUCAGAUUUUCCUACCAGUCAUCAACUUCCAGGGUGAGAUGUCCUACUGCCUUAGCAUUCUUACUGAUGUUGACUGGCAGCUGA
rnacentral:lncRNA from 1 species